CCGUUGCUUGCAACGGCGAAUUGUAGUCUCGAGAAGCGUUUUCCAGGCGGAUCGGUCUCACCUAAGUUGCUUGGAACAGCACAUCGGAGAGGGUGACAAUCCCGUACGAGGUGAGGGCGGCCGUCCACGAUGCGCUUUCUAUGAGUCGGGUUGCUUGGGAAUGCAGCCCAAAAUGGGUGGUAAACUCCAUCUAAAGCUAAAUAUUGCCACGAGACCGAUAGCGAACAAGUACCGUGAGGGAAAGAUGAAAAGAACUUUGAAAAGAGAGUUAAAAAGUACGUGAAACCGUUAAAAGGGAAACAGAUGGAGUUAGCAAUGCUCUGACGAGAUUCAGAUGUUCUUUCGAUCGUACGUGCAGUGUGCGGAUCUGAAUGGACCGUCGGUGUACGGCUCGAGAGUUUGAACGUCGCAUUUCCCGUCAGUGCGCGUCAACAUCUGUUAGAACCGAGUGACAAGCCAUCGAGAAAGGUAGGUAUGGUUCGCUGUACUGUUAUAGUCUCGAAUGUGCCAACUUGGAACUGACAGAGGAUUGCGGUACAUGCUCUCAUUCGUGAGGGCUGGUGUUCCGUUCUUGGUCGGCUGUCGACUAUGGUGGACUGCUUGCAGUGCACUUGAACUGCUGUUGGCCAUCGAAUGGGUCUACACACACUAUGUACCAAAGUUGUUGGCGGCAAUAUGGCUUCAUUUGACCCGUCUUGAAACACGGACCAAGGAGUCUAACAUGUGUGCGAGUCUUAGGGUGACAGAAACCCGGAGGCACAAUGAAAGUAAAGGCUGCUUGCAGCUGAGGUGAGAUCUGUCGGACACUCUCUGGCAGCGCAUCAUCGACCGACCUAUUCUACUCUUAGAAAGGUUUGAGUAUGAGCACAUUUGUUGGGACCCGAAAGAUGGUGAACUAUGCCUGAGUAGGGUGAAGCCAGAGGAAACUCUGGUGGAAGCUCGUAGCGAUUCUGACGUGCAAAUCGAUCGUCAAACUUGGGUAUAGGGGCGAAAGACUAAUCGAACCAUCUA
rnacentral:rRNA from 1 species